AGCUCCAAUAGCGUAUAUUAAAGUUGUUGCAGUUAAAAAGCUCGUAGUUGGAUUUGUGGCGUACGGUGGGUUCCGGGCACUUGUUGUCUGAGUGACUUGCCGUUGCCAUCCUUGGGUGGAACCUGUGUGGCAUUAGGUUGUCGUGCAGGGGAUGCCCAUCAUUUACUGUGAAAAAAUUAGAGUGUUCAAAGCAGGCUUAGGCCGUUGGAUACAUUAGCAUGGAAUAAUGAGAUAGGGCCACGGCGGUCUAUUUUGUUGGUUUGCACGUUGUGGUAAUGAUUAACAGGAACGGUUGGGGGUAUUCGUAUUCAAUUGUCAGAGGUGAAAUUCUUGGAUUUGUGGAAGACGAACUACUGCGAAAGCAUUUACCAAGGAUGUUUUCAUUAAUCAAGAACGAAAG
rnacentral:rRNA from 1 species